GAUGAACGCUGGCGGCGUGCUUAACACAUGCAAGUCGAACGGGAAAUAUUUCAUUGAGACUUCGGUGGCUUUGCUUUAUUUCUAGUGGCGGACGGGUGAUUAACGCGUGGGUAACCUGCCUUAUACAGGGGGAUACCAGUCAGAAAUGGCUGCUAAUACCGCAUAAGCGCACAGAGCUGCAUGGCUCAGUGUGAAAAACUCCGGUGGUAUAAGAUGGACCCGCGUUGGAUUAGCUAGUUGGUGGGGUAACGGCCCACCAAGGCGACGAUCCAUAGCCGGCCAGAGAGAGGGAACGGAGACAGUGGGACUGGGACACGGCCGAGACUCUUACGGGAGGGAGGAGUGGUGAAUAGUGCACAAUGGGGGAAACCCUGAUGGUGCGACGACGCGAGAAGGAAGAAGUAUCUCGGUAUGUAAACUGCUAUCAGCAGGGAAGAUAGUGACGGUACCUGACUAAGAAGCCCCGGCUAACUACGUG
rnacentral:rRNA from 1 species